UACGUAGGGGGCGAGCGUUAUCCGGAUUUAUUGGGUGUAAAGGGUGCGUAGACGGGAAUGCAAGUUAGUUGUGAAAUCCCUCGGCUUAACUGAGGAACUGCAACUAAAACUGUAUUUCUUGAGUGCAGGAGAGGAAAGUGGAAUUCCUAGUGUAGCGGUGAAAUGCGUAGAUAUUAGGAGGAACACCAGUGGCGAAGGCGACUUUCUGGACUGUAACUGACGUUGAGGCACGAAAGUGUG
rnacentral:rRNA from 1 species